ensembl:lncRNA
GACUUGGAGAGAAGCUGGAGCAGAGCAGGAGGGCAGGGAGAAGGUUUGGGGGCACAGAGGGGAGUCCCAGAGAAGGUCAGCAAACAGUAAAUUUCUGUUGAACUGGAAAAUGAUUUAAUCCAGUGACAUGCAAGCAAGUCUAACGACAUCUACUUGAAGGACAAAAUGCAGGUUAAUAGUCCCAUAACUUCAAGCGCUCCUAUUUCCUGGACUGUGAAAACAGAAGCACAUGCAUCGGGUUGCGUCUCAACUAAACAGGUACUGGGUCUCACUUCCUUUAAUCCUUAUGGCUGUGCCUGGAGCAACUCUAAGCAUCCCCAGCAGAGACUCACAGUGAUGUAGACG